UGAGUAAUAUAUCGGAACGUGCCCAUCGGUGGGGGAUAACGCAGCGAAAGCUGUGCUAAUACCGCAUACGCCCUGAGGGGAAGCGGGGGAUCGAAAGACCUCGCGCGAUUAGAGCGGCCGAUGCCUGAUUAGCUUGUUGGUGGGGUAAAAGCCCACCAAGGCGACGAUCAGUAGCUGGUCUGAGAGGACGAUCAGCCACACUGGGACUGAGACACGGCCCAGACUCCUACGGGAGGCAGCAGUGGGGAAUAUUGCACCAAUGGGCGAAAGCCUGAUGCAGCAACGCCGCGUGAGGGAUGAAGGCCUUCGGGUUGUAAACCUCUUUUAGCAGGGAAGAAGCGAAAGUGACGGUACCUGCAGAAAAAGCACCGGCUAACUACGUG
rnacentral:rRNA from 1 species